rnacentral:rRNA from 1 species
UACGUAGGGUGCGAGCGUUGUCCGGAAUUAUUGGGCGUAAAGAGCUCGUAGGCGGUGUGUCGCGUCGGUCGUGAAAACUUGGGGCUUAACUCUGAGCUUGCGGUCGAUACGGGCAUCACUGGAGUUCGGCAGGGGAGACUGGAAUUCCUGGUGUAGCGGUGAAAUGCGCAGAUAUCAGGAGGAACACCGGUGGCGAAGGCGGCUCUCUGGAACGCAACUGACGCUGAGACGCGAAAGCGUGGGGAGCAAACAGG